AACGAACGCUGGCGGCAUGCCUAACACAUGCAAGUCGAACGAACCCUUCGGGGUUAGUGGCGCACGGGUGCGUAACGCGUGGGGAUCUGCCCUUUGCUUCGGAAUAACAGUUAGAAAUGACUGCUAAUACCGGAUGAUGUCUUCGGACCAAAGAUUUAUCGGCAAGGGAUGAGCCCGCGUAGGAUUAGGUAGUUGGUGGGGUAAAGGCCCACCAAGCCGACGAUCCUUAGCUGGUCUGAGAGGAUGAUCAGCCACACUGGGACUGAGACACGGCCCAGACUCCUACGGGUGGCAGCAGUGGGGAAUAUUGGACAAUGGGCGCAAGCCUGAUCCAGCAAUGCCGCGUGAGUGAUGAAGGCCUUCGGGUCGUAAAGCUCUUUUACCAGGGAUGAUAAUGACAGUACCUGGAGAAUAAGCUCCGGCUAACUCCGUGCCAGCAGCCGCAGUAACAC
rnacentral:rRNA from 1 species